UACCGGCACCCCGAGUGGUCGGGACGUUUAUUGGGCCUAAAGCAUCCGUAGCCGGUUCUACAAGUCUUCCGUUAAAUCCACCUGCUUAACAGAUGGGCUGCGGAAGAUACUAUAGAGCUAGGAGGCGGGAGAGGCAAGCGGUACUCGAUGGGUAGGGGUAAAAUCCGUUGAUCCAUUGAAGACCACCAGUGGCGAAGGCGGCUUGCCAGAACGCGCUCGACGGUGAGGGAUGAAAGCUGGGGGAGCAAACCGG
rnacentral:rRNA from 1 species